rnacentral:miRNA from 2 species
AAGGGAUUCUGAUGUUGGUCACA